UGAAAUAAUUGCUCGAAGGAUAAGGCACCU
rnacentral:piRNA from 1 species